UGCGCCGUACUCGGGCACGGCCGCGCCGCCGAGGUGACAGCCUACAUUCAAAACCCCGAAGAAUUCGUCAGUUUUCCAGACAAGUAGAAAGACCUAUGCCGGCGCUUCGAGACCACGGUACCCGGAGUUUGAGCUCGUGUCCUCGUGGCGUCCAGCAACAGACAAACGCACCGGAGAUGGAUUCUUCAGAGUUCAGACGAAAACCAAGGCGGCUCAAACCCUCAAAUCCGGCGUAUUCGGUCGCUGACCAAACUGCUUCUCUGCAAUCUCUCCGUGCAGUCGUGCACUGAACGCAUCAGUCUCUGGUGCCAUCUUCCUACUACGAGACAGCUAGCGGCAUGCCUUCGUCAUGUUGAGUUGUUUGGACAGUUGGGAAUCUCGCCAUCUUGUGACACGGCAGUGAAGGAAACCUGAAUGAUCGAUGGUCGUCGCAGUUUGAAGAUUUCAGGUCAGCCCUGCUGAUGGCACCCAUUUCUUCAGACAAACACCAAGGCGGCUUCUCAGCGCAACCAGCCAACCACCGCGCACGCAUACGCGGCAGGACGACGAAGAAACCGAACGGUCUUGGUCGUUUCUUCUCCAUUUCGUAGACACUGUAACACCCAAAUUUUUGAAGAAUUCAAAUUCAUUAAAACUUG
rnacentral:lncRNA from 1 species